AUUGAACGCUGGCGGCAUGCCUUACACAUGCAAGUCGAACGGCAGCACGGGAGCAAUCCUGGUGGCGAGUGGCGAACGGGUGAGUAAUAUAUCGGAACGUGCCCAGUGAUGGGGGAUAGCCCGGCGAAAGCCGGAUUAAUACCGCAUACGACCUACGGGUGAAAGCAGGGGAUCGCAAGACCUUGCGUCAUUGGAGCGGCCGAUAUCAGAUUGGCUUGNGGUGGGGUAAAGCCUACCAAGGCGACGAUCUGUAGCUGGUCUGAGAGGACGACCAGCCACACUGGGACUGAGACACGGCCCAGACUCCUACGGGAGGCAGCAGUGGGGAAUCUUGGACAAUGGGCGCAAGCCUGAUCCAGCCAUGCCGCGUGGGUGAAGAAGGCCU
rnacentral:rRNA from 1 species